CCAAAGGUUGACCUCGGAUCAGGUAGGAAUACCCGCUGAACUUAAGCAUAUCAAUAAGCGGAGGA
rnacentral:rRNA from 1 species